rnacentral:rRNA from 1 species
AGUGAACGUUGGCGGCGUGGAUUAGGCAUGCAAGUCGAGCGAGAACCGUAGCAAUACGGGGACAGCGGCGAAAGGGACAGUAAUGUGUAGGUACCUACCUCCGGGUUCGGGAUAGCUGCGGGAAACUGCAGGUAAUACCGAAUCACGUCUCCGGACCAAAGGUGUGAUUCCACCUGGAGAGGGGCCUGCAUCCUAUUAGCUGGUUGGCGGGGUAACGGCCCACCAACGCGACGAUGGGUAGCGGGGGUGAGAGCACGACCCGCGUCAUUGGGGCUGAGACACUGCCCAGACACCUACGGGUGGCUGCAGUCGAGGAUCUUCGGCAAUGUGCGCAAGCCUGACCGAGCGACGCCGCGUGCGGGAUGAAGGCCUUCGGGUUGUAAACCGCUGUCGUAGAGGAGGAAGUGCAGGGGGGUUCUCCCCUCUGUUUGACCUAUUCUAGGAGGAAGGACGGGCUAAGUUCGUGCCAGCAGCCGCGGUAA